rnacentral:lncRNA from 1 species
ACGGGUGGCCGGGAGGGAUGUAACUGGCUGCUGAGCUGGCAGUUCUGUGUCGCUAGGCUUCGGCCGGGCAGCCGCCCCACAUAAGCUGCGAGGAGGAGCUUUACGACUUCCCGGUCUUCGGGGCCGGGCGCAGCAAGGGCCAGACUCUGCGCUAGCAGGCGCUGCCCGCCAACCGGCCGGCACCUGUCGCAGAAGGUGCAACCGAUCGCACUGUCGCGCAGAAGCUCCUCAAUGGCCAGCGCCAGCUGCAGCCCCGGCCGCCCACUCGCCUCACCUGAGCCUGGGAGUUUGAAAAAUCACAUUUGAGAAGAGGAUUGGAUCCUAGCCAUAACAUAAAUAUAAGGGUGGAACCAAAGUUUUAAUCAAAGAAGGUGAUGUUCAGUUGCUGCUUACGAUAGUUGAUACCCCAGGAUUUGGAGAUGCAGUGGAUAAUAGUAAUUGCUGGCAGCCUGUUAUCAAUUACAUUGAUAGUAAAUUUGAGGACUACCUAAAUGCAGAAUCACGAGUGAACAGAUGUCAGAUGCCUGGUAACAGGGUGCAGUGUUGUUUAUACUUCAUUGCUCCUUCAGGACAUGGACCAUUACAUAACUGAAGACUCCCACCUUCAGGCAGGAUUGGGUAGUACGUGUUUGUAACUACCUGGCAUUGCCUUUUGUUGAGGAAGGGUAGAUGUCUACCCAAAUGGAAUAUUGAGUAUCAGAGACUUCAAAUGAUAACUUUUGUUUGUUUGGAGAAAAUCUUGAGGACGUGAUCACUGUACAAAAGCAUGGCAAAAUGAGGAAACCACUGACAGGUGAAGAAUUUGCACAAUGGAAAACCACCUUGACCAUCUCAUGACUUUAUACAGGAAUCGGAGACAUCCAAGGCCAUUCCAUUUCUAGAUCACACUUAUCCCUCAAUCAAGUCAGUGACUGGAUCAUCUCCUAAGGUUUCACCUGCUUUGCAUCAGGUAGGUGAGAUGAAAGUGAUUUUAUGGGUAGCUUUCAGAAAAAUGUACUGCACUGAAGUGACAAAGUUCUGUCUUGCCUGUUCUCUCACAAAACAGCAAAUCAAUUAAAUAAUGAUGU